rnacentral:lncRNA from 1 species
UUUUCCAUAGCACUGACUUGUAAAUGCUAAUGUAUGUAAAUUAUGUAAAUAAUAAUAAUAAUAACAUGAAUUCAAAUUUUUUGCUCUAAGUAGUUAAUCAUCGCAACUUAGCUGGUCUUUGAACUCCGAAUUCCAGUAAUCGGAAUGUUGAGGAAAAGAAGCUGAAGAUAGACGAACACGAACGACUUUUCUUUGUAAGUACGAACUCCUGACCACCUGCAUAUCCAUAAGCUAUAUACGAACUACUUAAUAGUUUAUAAUUGAUUAAAGAACGACGUUUUCAAAACAACCACCGAACAAAACUAAUUCAAGAUAUUAUACAGAAGACAAGAUCCAACGUUGAUAAACUAGUAACCAAAAUUAAAUUACGGAAGAAGGCUUGGAGAUUUGUCCUUCCAACAAAAUGAACUAAUUCUGGUGUAUCCGCGUCUCAUCCUUCGACAUAACAUGUUGAUCAGUUAUGUCUUCUACUCAACCUAGCUGAUCUUUGAACUCAAACCUUCUGUACGUUGAACCAGAGCAGGAAAGUAGAAAAUACGAAGCUAAAGAUUCAAGAACACGAGUGAUUUCUCUUUUAAAAACCAAGAUCUUCCAUCAGGCUGAUCAAGAGCCAGAAGCGAAAGAAGAUAAAACCGAAUAUAGAAGAAAAUGGAAUGACUUCGCCUUGUAAGUUAAUCAUCGCAACGUAACUG